rnacentral:rRNA from 1 species
UACCUGCAGAAGAAGCGCCGGCUAACUACGUGCCAGCAGCCGCGGUAAUACGUAGGGAGCAAGGCGUUGUCCGGGAAUUAUUGGGCGUAAAGAGCUCGUAGGCGGCUUGUCACGUCGGAUGUGAAAGCCCGGGGCUUAACCCCGGGUCUGCAUUCGAUACGGGCUAGCUAGAGUGUGGUAGGGGAGAUCGGAAUUCCUGGUGUAGCGGUGAAAUGCGCAGAUAUCAGGAGGAACACCGGUGGCGAAGGCGGAUCUCUGGGCCAUUACUGACGCUGAGGAGCGAAAGCGUGGGGAGCGAACAGGAUUAGAUACCCUGGUAGUCCACGCCGUAAACGUUGGGAACUAGGUGUUGGCGACAUUCCACGUCGUCGGUGCCGCAGCUAACGCAUUAAGUUCCCCGCCUGGGGAGUACGGCCGCAAGGCUAAAGACUCAAAGGAAUUGACGGGGGCCCGCACAAGCAGCGGAGCAUGUGGCUUAAUUCGACGCAACGCGAAGAACCUUACCAAGGCUUGACAUAUACCGGAAAGCAUCAGAGAUGGUGCCCCCCUUGUGGUCGGUAUACAGGUGGUGCAUGGCUGUCGUCAGCUCGUGUCGUGAGAUGUUGGGUUAAGUCCCGCAACGAGCGCAACCCUUGUUCUGUGUUGCCAGCAUGCCCUUCGGGGUGAUGGGGACUCACAGGAGACUGCCGGGGUCAACUCGGAGGAAGGUGGGGACGACGUCAAGUCAUCAUGCCCCUUAUGUCUUGGGCUGCACACGUGCUACAAUGGCCGGUACAAUGAGCUGCGAUGCCGCGAGGCGGAGCGAAUCUCAAAAAGCCGGUCUCAGUUCGGAUUGGGGUCUGCAACUCGACCCCAUGAAGUCGGAGUUGCUAGUAAUCGCAGAUCAGCAUUGCUGCGGUGAAUACGUUCCCGGGCCUUGUACACACCGCCCCGUCUACGGUCCAACCCAA